CUCUCUCCAACGGCGUAUCACCUUUUGGGGGCAUUUGGAAUUGGAGUUUGGGUUGUUAGGUCUACAAGAGGUGGUGUUUUCUUUUGGUUUCCAGCAGCAGCUCUGGUUUUGUUCCCAGCAGCAACUUUGUUGUAACUUCGACUACCAGAUUUUAGCAAUGAAUUUCUGCGGUUGCGAAGCGUAGGCUGGGAUAUCGAUUUGGGACUGUAAUUCGAGACGAGCACUUCGACGUGGAGAUUGUUUAGCUCGGUC